CGCAUCUGUGCAUGCAGCAUAUCAAUAAGCGGAGGAAAAGAAACUAACAAGGAUUCCCCUAGUAACGGCGAGUGAAGCGGGAAGAGCUCAAAUUUGAAAUCUUAAAGGGUUUCCCUUUACGAAUUGUAGUUUAAAGAAGUGUUUUCUGUUGAGGUUUUGGUAAAAGUUCUUUGGAAUAGGACAUCAUAGAGGGUGAGAAUCCCGUAUUUGACCUUUACUUUCAACUUGGUGAUACACUUUCAAAGAGUCGGAUUGUUUGGGAAUGCAGUCCAAAAUGGGUGGUAAAUUUCAUCUAAAGCUAAAUAUUGGCGAGAGACCGAUAGCGAACAAGUACCGUGAGGGAAAGAUGAAAAGAACUUUGAAAAGAGAGUUAAACAGUACGUGAAAUUGUCAAAAGGGAAGCGUUUGACACCAGUGUUGUUUUUCUGAAAAUCAAUUAAAGAACUGUUUAUGCUAAGCUGUUUAGACUUUAUCAGCUAACUGUUUAGUUUUGAGCUUUUCUUUAAUGCACUUUUCAGUUAACAAGUCAACAUCAAUUUCUUUUGCUGUAAAAAAGCUUGAGGAAGGUGGCUUGAGAUUCGUCUUAAGUGUUUAUAGCCUCUUGCCUAUGCAGUCGGAGAGAUUGAGGUCUGCAGCGUAGAUCCUUCGGGGCUAAAUGCAUUUGUGCUAAGUUAUAGCAUUUUAUAGACAACUUGUUGACUAUGAUUUGUCUUGUAGCUUACUCGCUUAUGUUAUUUUACCUACGCUUAGGAUGUUGAACGCGCACAGAGUCUC
rnacentral:rRNA from 1 species